rnacentral:lncRNA from 1 species
AUCACUGGCCAUAGAUUCGUACUUCCAUGCAGGUCCUAUAAGCCAAGACACUCUUGCUCCUCCAAGCAAGCCUCCUAGCUGAAAUUGCAAGUUAAGAUUUUAAGCAAUCUCGGUAGUAAAACUUUAAAUACAGGUAUACUACAAGUACACGUGUAAGAGGGACAGUAGUUAAGACUUACAUGAUCCCAAUCAUCAAUGCCACUUGACAUUAGUCUAAUAACCUGCAGGAUCCGCAUUCAUCUCCACUGAGCUCGGAAAAAAUAAGAGCAAAAGCAUUUGAUGCUACAAUUCCUUCUAGGUAAUCAUUGUAUCAAGCAGUAACAUAGCAGAAACUCUUUUUUUUUUAAUGCAUUUGAUAGGCUGUUUAGGGUUCCCAUACAUUGAGUAGCAAAAGCUUUGAAUCAUACCAUGUUUAGGAAAAUAACUUGUGCUAUGUGUUGCAGAUCUUCUUUGGCAUCUCUGAUCAUACCUCUAUGUCUCAUGACAAACACAGCAACAGAACCAACCUAGACAACCAAAAGAUUUACAAAAUGAGAAAAUUGAGGUUCUGGAAUAAAUAAAAGCCAAGUAUUUCAAGGCAUACAAAAAUUAGAUGGAAUAGCUUCAUACGAACAUUUAUCUUAUUCCGUGAAUAAGUUUGCGAGGACUUACCAAU